rnacentral:rRNA from 1 species
CGAGCGGAUGACGGGAGCUUGCUCCUUGAUUCAGCGGCGGACGGGUGAGUAAUGCCUAGGAAUCUGCCUGGUAGUGGGGGACAACGUUUCGAAAGGAACGCUAAUACCGCAUACGUCCUACGGGAGAAAGCAGGGGACCUUCGGGCCUUGCGCUAUCAGAUGAGCCUAGGUCGGAUUAGCUAGUUGGUGGGGUAAUGGCUCACCAAGGCGACGAUCCGUAACUGGUCUGAGAGGAUGAUCAGUCACACUGGAACUGAGACACGGUCCAGACUCCUACGGGAGGCAGCAGUGGGGAAUAUUGGACAAUGGGCGAAAGCCUGAUCCAGCCAUGCCGCGUGUGUGAAGAAGGUCUUCGGAUUGUAAAGCACUUUAAGUUGGGAGGAAGGGCAGUAAGCUAAUACCUUGCUGUUUUGACGUUACCGACAGAAUAAGCACCGGCUAACUCUGUGCCAGCAGCCGCGGUAAUACAGAGGGUGCAAGCGUUAAUCGGAAUUACUGGGCGUAAAGCGCGCGUAGGUGGUUCGUUAAGUUGGAUGUGAAAGCCCCGGGCUCAACCUGGGAACUGCAUCCAAAACUGGCGAGCUAGAGUACGGUAGAGGGUGGUGGAAUUUCCUGUGUAGCGGUGAAAUGCGUAUAUAUAUGAAUGAACGCCAGUGGCGAAGGCGACCACCUGGACUGAUACUGACACUGAUGUGCGAAAGCGUGGGGAG